GUGGACUUGUAUCGGUAGAAGUCCUUUCAAAAUAUGACCGUUGGGCUCAUUGUAUCGGUAGAUGUCCCCUUGAACCUGUAGAACUCUAAAGGUUUCAACUGGUAUCAGUAGAACCCAGUAGAGUAUCAGUAGAAGUGCAGAGAAGGCUAAACUUUGGCUACUACCUUGACUUGUUUUGGUAAAAGUUCUCAAGGUAUCGGUAGAACUCUGGUUG
rnacentral:lncRNA from 1 species